rnacentral:rRNA from 1 species
UUUAUGAUCACUCCAACAUCUAGAUAAUCGAAUCCCACCAACGUUAGCAAGCUAUCGAAGACGGGGCGACCAUCAGAAGCCAGGUGACUAGCCCAAAUGGGUAUCCGCUGCAAUCCUCAAUCCCGGUCACCACAUUUAUCAAGGUCUAUAACACUUUUCCGAAGAAAAGCUACCUUCCCUCAAUUUUUAUAUGAUAAUCGAAAUUGAUGCUAACCUGCAAGUAAGGAAGUGCACCAGAAAGGACACGAGUAAACCCGCAUACUAUCAAGUUGAUUCCCUACCAACAUGACUG